AGAGCGAACGCUGGCGGCAGGCUUAACACAUGCAAGUCGAGCGGGCGUAGCAAUACGUCAGCGGCAGACGGGUGAGUAACGCGUGGGAACGUACCUUUUGGUUCGGAACAACACAGGGAAACUUGUGCUAAUACCGGAUAAGCCCUUACGGGGAAAGAUUUAUCGCCAAAAGAUCGGCCCGCGUCUGAUUAGCUAGUUGGUGAGGUAACGGCUCACCAAGGCGACGAUCAGUAGCUGGUCUGAGAGGAUGAUCAGCCACAUUGGGACUGAGACACGGCCCAAACUCCUACGGGAGGCAGCAGUGGGGAAUAUUGGACAAUGGGCGCAAGCCUGAUCCAGCCAUGCCGCGUGAGUGAUGAAGGCCCUAGGGGUUGUAAAGCUCUUUUGUGCGGGAAGAUAAUGACGGUACCGCAAGAAUAAGCCCCGGCUAACUUCGUGCCAGCAGCCGC
rnacentral:rRNA from 1 species